rnacentral:misc_RNA from 1 species
UGGCUCUGGCAUCGAUGAAGAACGCAGCGAAAUGCGAUAAGUAAUGUGAAUUGCAGAAUUCAGUGAAUCAUCGAAUCUUUGAACGCACAUUGCGCCCGCCAGUACUCUGGCGGGCAUGCCUGUUCGAGCGUCAUUUCAACCCCUCAAGCCCUGGGCUUGGUGUUGGGGGUCGACCGACCAGCCCCCCCCCCUCGGGGGAGGCCCGGUCGCCCCUGAAAUACAGUGGCGGACCCGCCGCGGCCCCCUUUGCGUAGUAGCACACCUCGCACUGGAGAGCGGCGCGGCCCACGCCUGGAACCCAAAUUUACAAGGUUGACCUCGAAUCAGGUAGGAAUACCCGCUGA